GCACGGGCUUGACCCGACUCCGAUCGGAUCACUUUACUAUUGCGUCUCUGCGACUCCAAAUUCUAGAGAAUGAGUGAAGAAAACCAAUUUCGAGUCUCGAAACCCUAGCUGUCCUGUGAUUUGGAACCUCGAAAUUGAUGGUUUUUGCUAAUUUCGCGUUGUUGGGGAAGAAGAUGGGAUCGGACGAGGAGGAUUUCGUCUUCUUCGGUACGCCGACUGAGCGCGAGGAAGAAAUCGCGAGCCGUAAAAGGAAAGCGAUCGCGGAGGCUUCAGAGAAUAUGGGAGCCCUCUCUUCGUGGAACAAAGAGCUCAGGUUUGAUCUUAUUUUUGUCUGCUUGGUCGCGGAUGAACUGGGAAAGCAAGUGAUCUGAGAGUGAUGUCGAGACGCUGCGAUGGUUCAGUGUUUUCGCCUCUCUCGCUUCUCAAUUUCUUUGGACUGAAUUGAAUUCCAGACAGUUGGAACAUUUACGAGUUUGGGACAUGACAGUGGUUUGGUGUUCUGGUUCUCUAGUUUCUGAAGUUUCGCUGAUGAACCAAACUGCGGUUAGGGAAGCUUUCAUGGGGCAUUUUACUGGAGGAUUUUCUGCCGGGUAUUACGAUAAGGUUGGAUCGAAAGAGGGUAAAAUUCUAUUGUCUAUGAACUCAAUGAAAAAUAGAGGCUGGACUCCUCAGUCUUUUAAAGAACUGGGCUGGAGUGAGAAAGCAGAAAUAUUUCUGAUUUUAUGGACGGUGGCUAGGGUCAUCGCACCGAUGGUCGUGUCAAACACAGUUAUUAGUCCAGUCGAAUCGGAGGAAGUCUUGCGAGAAUCGCUCGAACCGAGCCUCGGUUAAAGCCGGAUGGCUAAAACCGGACGUCCUGCACAAAUUCAGGCAACAUUGCGAUGCAGAGGCAAGCUCCCAGGUCGGUGAACAAGGGAUAACAAACCACUUUGGGUUCCGGAAAUUCGGGGCCGGUACUCUAGCUCCCAGGUCGUGACCAUUCGAUCGACUGUGUGGAACCCGUGGCUACUACAAUCCAAAGAGCACACAAUCCUGCAAAAGGAAGGAGCAGCGAACACUACAGAGCGUUAGCAUAAAGUCGCAAGCUAUCUACAACCUUGGCUUCACCGACGGAUGACAGGGACGUCUCUAGACCGACAACCAUAACCCUAGACGAGGGCGGCGACACGAUUUAAGCCGAGGGAAGAAUGGCAGGUGGGACCAAUGAGGCCGCCACGCACCAUUGGUGGUAGCUCCACAUGACGACAUGGACGUGUAGUCUGUCAUCCACGACAAUGUGGAGGACAAUUUUACGGCGAAAGUCGGGUUAACGGUAGGGCUGGGCACGGGCGGGUACCCGGACGUUUUAAGACAUCUUUAUCUCGAUCUCAGUCUCGUCGGGUUUUUUAUUGUCUUAUCUCGAUCUCAGUCUCACAAGGUUCGGGUACCCGAGAUCCGGGUAUCCGAGACACGAGAUCGGGUAUCCGCGGGACCCGAACCCGUACUCACUUUUAAAAACAUGUACGUAAUUAUAUUGCAAAAUAUAACUAAACCUAAAACCUGUACAAUAUUUUCAUCCAAAUUACAACCCAUAAUUCUUAAACAUAUGGAGACGGAGGCAGUAGAAACGAGGGAGAGAAAGAGAACGGAGACGGCUGAGAAAAGGAGGCUGAACAAAGCCAGAGACGACGAAGACAGAGGCGGAGCAAAGCAGAGACGAUGGAGACGGGAGCAGCCGAACCGAGGGAGAGAAAGAGAGUGAUGGAGGCGGACGAACAGAGAACGGCGAAGAUGGAGAUCAGAGCCUCAGGCGACGAGAGUGAUGGAGGCGGACGAACAGAGAACACGGCGACGAUGGAGCUCAGAGCCUCAGGCGACAGGCGAUGACGGACGGAUCAGAAAGUGUGAGAGCCUGAGAGAUGAGAUUGAGAGUGAUAGAGGCUAUAAUCGAAAAGAGAGACUGAGAGUGAGAGUGAGAGUGAGAGAGGCGCCGAAAAUGUGAGAGAAUGAGAGUUGGGAUAAUUAGGGUUAGGGUUAGGGUUAGAUUUAGGAAUAGGUAUUUAUGUAAAUAUAUUAAAAAUAAGGGUUAUUUUUGUAAUUUUAUACUUUUUCGGUACCCAUGAGAUAACCCGGAAAAAUAUAUUGAAACUCGAACUCGUAACCCGAAACUCGGGUUUGUUGAGAUAAAAACCCGGCUUGUAUCUCGUUAACUCAUAAGACAAUACAAACCGGGUACCCGUGAGAUAGGGUACCCGGAAACCCGCGGGUCUCGGGUAAAAAUGUCCACCCCUAGUUAACGGCCAAGGCUCUCUCUUCGACCAUUUGGAGAGGGAGUAUUGUUAGAUUAUGGUUUUAUUUUGUUAUUUUUUAUAUUUUGGGUUUUAUUUAUUUAUAGUGUCUCUGGUUGUAGUGAGUUUCUUAAUUUGCUUUUGUGGGGUUGUGAACCCUUAUGUGUUUUGAACGGGAUUCAUUUCGUUACAAUAUCGCAUUGUACCAAAAAAAAAAAAGAGCCUUCGGAAGUUUAUUUCUCGUAAAAGAUAUUUUGGCAUAAAGUGCGGAAAAUCAAAACUCGUAAAUAAAAUUAUUAUUUACUCGAGCACUGACUAUUAAAUAAAUUAGCAAGCGCCCAUUUGCCUCGAUCCAUCCAUCCAUCCGCCCAUCCACUUUGUUUGCCAAAAGGAUACAAAGAGAGAGAGAGAAUGUACGGCAAAAGGGUAAAAAUGGUGACGACAGAUUCCUGGUUCAAACUUCGUUACUCUUUUCUCUCUCUCUCUCUCUGUUGAUUCGUGCUUUUUGAAAAUCUCCGAUUCCACCCUCCUUCCUGUCAUUCGUACAUGCAUAUUUGUAUGCACGCCUCUCUAUAGGUAUAUAUGUAUGAGCGCUUGUGGAUAUGUCUCUGCAUCUCUCUUGUGUGUAUGCGUGUAUGAAUCUAUGUAUCUGUCCUUUUUGUGUUUGUCGUGAAGGUUUUAGGCAAUGGAGAUUCAACUUCCGAUCCAGGUUUGAUUUCAAGUACUUUGUUUUUCUUAUUGCCGAGUUCUCAGAUCUGUGAUUUUCGUUGCUUGAUGCGGAUAUUUUUUCCUAUUUUUUCUUCCGUGAUUUUUUCUCUUACUCUCUGGAAUGGGGAAGUCGCUGGAGGCAGCGGUUCAUCGAUCUCUUCAUGGGAAUUUGAUGUUCAGAAUACAUCAAAGGCACGAAUCGAUCGAUAAACCUCUGCAUCCAGCGCUUGCCCCCCGCGAAUCUGUUUGGUUACUGAGAAAAGUCCGGGUAAAGUGAAAGGAAAAUCGAUAUGUUCGGAUUUGGAGACUGGAAAAUGUCCUCAGCUGCCUACACGGCUUUAGAACUUAGGAAUUUGGUUUGGGAACAACUCCGGGAAAAGGGUAAUCUGAAUUUGUGUUUCCCAUGCGCUGAGCCUGUUUGGUUGCUGAGAAAGUGAGGGAAAACAAACAAAGUUAGCAUUUGGAAUUUUCCUCAGCAGUCUGACCGAGUGUUUUUUUAACUUAUUGUUUGGAAGAAAAAAAUGGAUGACAAUGAAGCAGAUUGAAAAGGGGGAUUUUUUUUUUUUGCAAUUUGUAGAAGCCAGAAGGUAUUGGCACUUGUCUUUGGUAAAAAAAAAAUCAACUUUUUUUUUCUCCAGUUUCUGAUUGUUGGUUUGCCAAUCCAACUUGUGUUCGUAGAUCACAGAUGCAUGAGUUCUAAUCUUAGAUCGGGGAUCUGCACUCUGAUGACAACUUUUGAUUCUGUUGAUCAUGCCCUUCCUUCUGUUCUCUUAAGCUGAUUUGAAUUUUGAACGCUGGUUCUGAUUAUAACUAUGAUGAUUAUGAGGUUGACUAUGCUUUGAUAAUUUCGUCUUCUCCUUUGAUAUAAAUCAAUUCGCAGGUUCUGUUCUUGAUUGAUGCAUUGGCACCAAGUUUGAUGAUUUCUCUUUGUCAAAGUUUUCCACCAAUCUCUUGGUGUUGGCCCUUGAUGUGUCACUUCCUUUCCCGGCCUUGUGAGAUGUGGAUUUAAGCGGCCCUUUUCUUGAUUCUUUGAACACUAAAUGCUCGUGCGAAUUUUAGUUGGCUGCUGGUUAUAUGCUUUGAGAUGGACAGAAGGGUGGAUGUCCAUCCCAUCCCAUGGAAAAGUGAACCAGUUCACUUGCUAGAAGUUCAUGUCUGUUUCAGUUUCAUGGCAUCAUUUUGGCAUAGAAGACACGCGUGUGGUCUUCUGUUAGCCGAUUUUCCAUAUUUGGCAGAAGAGGGGGCGGAUUCACUCUUUUAGAAAUUAGGAUUGUGGGUAUCAUAUAAUGAUUCCGUUCUCCAAUUUGGCAAGAAAACAAGUGAGUUCACAUCUUUGUCUUAGAUUCCCCUCCCCAAAAGAAAAGGACCGUAUUAGAAGAACACGAGGAAAUAAUGUUAUUCUCCUUGUUUUAAUGGGUUAAGGAUUGGUUAGCUAUCCCAACACUAGAAAUUUCAAAUGGGUUGGGUUAAACGGUUUAAUCCAAUUGAUUUAUAAUUCUAUUUCUAUUGACUGUUUGGGUUUUUAUUAAGUAAAUAGUUUUAAUGGGUUUAACACA